AGCUGCAGGCUCGGAGAAAAGAAAAGAAAAAGACACGAGUACGCGCAUGCCAUAGCAACAGAAGGUAACUUUCCCUCGGGCUACAUGCCACUUGAACCCCGAGAAGUUAAGAGAAUCGUGGCAGAGUGUUGAAGAAAUGCAGCCUCUGUCCUCCGUGGAAUCGUCGACUUUUAGAAAGCUUGUCAGCAAAAUCCCCGUUAACAAACCAAUGAAAAGGACUCUGAGAAGCUCCAGAGACAGAUUUGACCUGAUGGGACAAGCUCGACUUUGCCCUCUCAACCUUUACGGAGACCUUUGGGACUGAGAGCUCUGCUACAGUGUACACUUUUUUUCCAAGUAUAUUUGAGAGAUGUUGCAAAGAGAAACAGAGAAAUACAGCGACCAAGAGGCCGAGGAGCACCAGGAGGAGGAAUCUGCGGAUACUGCUGCUGUGAACCAUGGUGGCUGCGAGGAACGAGAUGUGCGUCUCCGAAACUCCUCAAACUUCAAACGAGUAGCUGACCCUGGAAGAGGAGCAGGAGAAGAGUACAGGGGAGCGCAGCAGGGGGAGAGGUAGGCUACUGAGGGGUGAGAGAAGGGGUGGGACUAGGUGUGCACAGGACUGUCUGGACAGUGUGGACUUUGUGAGCACAUCAUCGCAGGGCCCACCCACUCCACACUCCUCCGGCUACAUAGUUGGGUGUUCGGUGUAAACAUUCAGUGACCGCUGACCUUGGACAGGUCACAUCAAGAAGGUCCCAGCAAAGAAACUUUUAAAACGGCAAUGAUGGAGGAAGUAUAGAGAUGUCAAACUCUGAAAGGAUUAGUAGCAGAAAUCUGCAAUUUCAAAAGAGAUAUAGAAUGAAUUGCACUGCAAUAUAUUAUUGGAUUAUCGUACCUGAUGCAUAGGGUUGUACCGAAUGACAACUUUUUUUUACAAAGCUUAUAUUUAGGUAAAUAAAUAAAUAAAACAUUUUCAUCUUUAUUGAUGUCAUUGCCCUUAAAAGAAGUGUGUAUUUGGAAUCAACUUUCUAAAAGAACAGUGCAAGCGGCAAGCUAGAUGGCAAGCGCAGUAAAACGUGUUUAUUUUCCUUUAAAAGGCUUAACAAAAAACAUUUGGGCAAUUGUAAGGAUACCUUUUAUCUUGUUCUAUACAUUUUUACUUAUGGACUGUACCAGGCUUUAGAGUUUUGAAACCGUUGGAUUGCACGAGAAACAAUCCUACACAGCCACAACUGGAAACUAAUACUGGUGAUAUUAGUAGUAUUCGGUACAGUCCUGCUGAUGCAACAUCUAAAAAAACUUUUCAAAGAGGGUGCUCCAGCAUGUGAGUAUUGGAUUUCUAAAAAGCAGGGGAACUCAGAAGAAACAGAUUAUAGCCUAAUAAACAUGAUCAUAUUAAAGUAAUAGGAUUUGAAAAAACGUCAGUCUACAGUGUGGGAUCAGGCUACGAAAGGGUGGGUCAUACAUCCCAUCAUCACUAUAGCUGUGAAAGAAUUGAAAUCAAAAUGACAAGAUUUGCCAUUAAAAUAAAGUGCAGAUUCCCCCAUUAAUAUAGUACUUAAAAUAAUAUACACCCUUUAGCCUAUGCUCUUAAGUCAAGGGUGUAUUUCAGCUAGAUAGCACUUAGUUCUAGAAAAUAAGGGUGUUGUGUUUUGCGAAGUGACGUUUUGAUAACAAUCUGUUUGCAUGGCGAGAAAGAUGUGGCUUUUCUUUAGAAGAAAUUCUCUUUUUGUGGAUUUGAAAAACACCAUGACUAAUAAAAUGUCAAAGUGGACCACAACUUUAUAGGAGGUUGCACUUUCAAUUAUUGGAAAGUUAUCUGUAUUAGCAUCUCCUUUCUGUUUGACACAAACACCUGAAACAUAGAAAUAACAGUGGGAAAGGCCUGUUACAUAAUUACUCAUCUAAUGAUAUGUGACCUGUGAAUGCUGAUACAGCUAUUCAUUUCCAGCUCAUUAAAAUGUAGUGUGACCGGGUGAGUGUGUGUAACUUAAGGAACACGCACAAAUGUGUUGUUUUCUGAGUAGUUCAGACACAGGUGUGAA